CAGAUAUUGGGCAAGCUACCUCGAAAACCGUCAAAAUCAUCGAAUAAUGACUCAAACAAUGAUGGUGGGGUCAAUGCCUUUUCUUCUCUAAAUUCUUCCCACGGACCCAAUUCCAUAAACAGCUCAAAGGCGUCCUCCAUUGCUUCGAAGUCUGCUAGUUCGGGUUUGGGCGCUUCGCGCGUGAACAAUGGGACCAUUGCACCACAGAACAAAUCUAAUCAAGGAAAAAAAUCUGCCGCCGUUGCAGGCCAAGUGGGUCCGAUGUUGGCUUCUGGGGUUUACGAGCCAUUGCCUAAUUUCAAGGAUGUUCCUAGUUCGGAGAAGCAGAAUCUCUUUAUUAGAAAGUUGAACAUGUGCU
rnacentral:misc_RNA from 1 species